rnacentral:rRNA from 1 species
AGUAACGCGUGAGUAACCUGCCUUUCAGAGGGGGAUAACGUUCUGAAAAGAACGCUAAUACCGCAUGAGACUACAGAGCUGCAUGGCUCAGUGGUCAAAGGAGCAAUCCGCUGAAAGAUGGACUCGCGUCCGAUUAGAUAGUAGGCGGGAUAACGGCCCACCUAGUCGACGAUCGGUAGCCGGACUGAGAGGUUGAACGGCCACAUUGGGACUGAGACACGGCCCAGACUCCUACGGGAGGCAGCAUG